AGCGAACGCUGGCGGCAUGCUUAACACAUGCGAGUCGCACGGGCAGCAAUGUCAGUGGCGGCCGGGUGAGUAACGCGUAGGAACGUGUCCUGAGGUGGGGGACAACCCCGGGAAACUGGGGCUAAUACCGCAUAUGGGCUGAGGCCCAAAGCCGAGAGGCGCCUUUGGAGCGGCCUGCGUCCGAUUAGGUAGUUGGUUGGGUAAAGGCCUACCACGCCUGCGAUCGGUAGCUGGUCUGAGAGGACGACCAGCAACACUGGGACUGAGACACGGCCCAGACUCCUACGGGAGGCAGCAGAGGGGAAUAUUGGACAAUGGGCGAAAGCCUGAUCCAGCAAUGCCGCGUGGGUGAAGAAGGUCUGCGGAUCGUAAAGCCCUUUCGACGGGGACGAUGAUGACGGUACCCGUAGAAGAAGCCCCGGCUAACUUCGUG
rnacentral:rRNA from 1 species